rnacentral:rRNA from 1 species
GACGAACGCUGGCGGCGUGCUUAACACAUGCAAGUCGAACGAUGAAGAAGAGAAACGCGAACUUCGGUUCAAAUUUCACUUCGGAUUAGUGGCAGACGGGUGAGUAACGCGUGAGCAACCUACCUCUUACAAAGGGAUAGCCUCGGGAAACCGUGAUUAAUACCAUAUGACACAUUCAUAAGGCAUCUUAAGAAUGUUAAAGCUACGGCGGUAAGAGAUGGGCUCGCGUCCCAUUAGCUAGUUGGUGAGGUAACGGCCCACCAAGGCGACGAUGGGUAACCGGCCUGAGAGGGUGAACGGUCACAUUGGAACUGAGACACGGUCCAAACUCCUACGGGAGGCAGCAGUGGGGAAUAUUGCACGAUGGAGGGAACUCUGACGCAGCGACGCCGCGUGAGCGAUGAAGGAAUUCGUUUCGUAAAGCUCUGUUCUAUGGGAAGAAAAGGACUGUACCAUAGGAGAAAGCCCCGGCUAAAUACGUG